rnacentral:lncRNA from 1 species
UUUUUUUUUUUUGGUCAACCAACUCUACUACUAAAUACCGUUGGUCAAAUAAAUCCGAUAAUUAUUAUUAAGAGUGAAAUCUCAUUCGUUUAAUCACAACUCUCGAGAAUGACUAUGAAUAUGCUGUAAAGGAAAAAAAUAUAAAUAAACGAAUUAAAUACCGUUUGUCAUUUGGAAAAAAAAAAGCAUUAAUGCUAAAAUCAUAAUUUAAGACAAAAAGUGCUUAUACAAAAAUCUUCAUUUAUUGCACAAUAACAUUAUUCUUCUUACUGAGUCUAGUCCAAUGUAAAUAUAGAUUAGUCGAAUUGAUAAAUUAUAGAGUACAUGAUAGAUACUUGAAAAAUAGAAAGAGGGAGGGGUGGGGGGUAUGUACUGCUCCAUUUUUCUUAAGACGAUAAGAUUAACAUUAGAUUUGAGAUAUAUCUAAACCAAUUCAUUCUUAUCGCUAAACAAAUGGCUCCUUAACUAGAAUGUCCUUUUUUUUUUAAAAUAAAAAUUAAUCAUCAAUAUUAAGUACUCAUUAAUCUAGCUAACUCAAAUUUAUAACCCCUUAUAAAAAAUAUUUUCAUUUUCAUGUCUCAAAAUUAAGAAUUCUGAUUAAGAUAGAUCUCAUCCAUCUCAACCGUCACGUCCUAAAACCGUAAGUAUGAGAAUAUACAUAUUCAUUUUUCAUCUUCCAAUAAACACAAAAAAAAAAAAAAUUGAAGUAAAAUAAAAUUUCUAUAAGCAUUGGUUUCUUCCAAGACAUGACAUCCAUAUGAAAUAUAUCAAAAUUACAUCAAAAAAUAAGACUAUUGGUGAUAAUUACCGUUAAACAAAUUGGCAAUACCCAACAGAUUUACAAAAAAAAUAAUUCAAAUGUUAAUUCAACACCCUUUGGACAUAAUUAACCUAACAAAUUCAUUUUCUUCUAUUUCAUCAAAUUUUUUUCUUUACAAGUAUCUCAACUUUCACAUUACUUCCUUUUUGAACCCCAUAAUUUUACAAAGAAUCACUUUCCAACCCCAAAUAAUUCUUUAGCUCAUAAGGAAAACAAGGAUUUUUCUUCCAUUUAUCACCAUGCAAUUUUAAAAUCUUGAUUACUCUUUCCUUUGUUGUUGAAGAUCCACCAAUAUGUAACAAAGCCACCAAUUUUUUCACUGAUCCAUACAUCAACAAGUCAUCCAAAACUUUAUCUGUGGGAUGAGAAUUGCAAAUCAAUGAAAGUAUUUUCACACCAAUUUUUGUGCCAAUAUUUGAAAUAUUCAACAUUUUUUUGGUUAUGGCUGCAACACCUAAACCAUGUUCAAUAAAUCCCAUUCUUCCAUCAGCACAUUCACACAUCAUUUUAAUCAAAUACAUUAUUUUCUCACUUUUUGAUUUGCUUGAAUCAGGAAGAAUCUCAAUCAACGUACACAUAGCUCCAGCCUCAAUUGCUUUCAAUCUUGAUUUUUUCGAUUUUUCUAGUAUGUCUAUCAAGACUUGUAAUGCACAAGAACUUGCCUUGCUACAAAUUUCAUCAGACAUAAUUUCCAUCAAUGAUUUAAAGAACUCAAUCCCUUGAUCUUCAAUCACAACACUCCAUUGACAAUCUGAUUUCAUAAUCCUUUGUAAUAUCGAAACGGUGCAAAAUCUUGCUUCUUCACUCCCUCUUUGAAGUAUUAUAGCCAUAGACUUCAUGCACCCUGGUUGUAACAAUAUCUUGAUUGUUUCCUCCUCUUCUAACACAAUAGGUAACUUGAUCAAUAGACUAAGAGCCUCUUCACAUGCUCUAAAUGUAACGAAAUCUGAGCUUUCGAUUAAGAUUUGUUGAAUGAUCCUAACAAGAACCUCAACUCCACCACAUUUCUUGAAAUCAUCUUUUACAUCAUGAUCACCUAACUCAACAAUUGACUUGAGUUUCUUUAAGGAACUCACCUUAAAAGGGCUUGAUUCUAUCGUGUUGAUCAACGAUACGAGCUCAUCAUGCUUCAUGGAUAAUUCAUCAUGAGAUUGAGAUUGAGAUUUGCCAUUUUGCCAAGCAAGAAUGAGUCUUUUGAGGGUAUGAUUUGGUGUCAUGUCAAAACUAUGUAAAACUUGCAUUGUGGUAGGACAAGUUUUUUUCUUACAAGUGUAGAACCAUUUUUCUAUAUUUUUUCUCUCAUAUGUAACACCAGUAGAGAUUGUAACAGGAUCUUUCAUGAGCUCCAUGGAGAUUGGACAUCUAAAAUGUAGAGGAAAAUCCAUGAAUAAUUGAUACAAUUUUUGGUAUAUUUUCUUUGUGAAUUGUUAUAUCAACAUUGAAAGAUGAAAAGGUGAAGUGGGGUAGACAAAAUCCUAAGCUUUUUAUAUAUGUAAUUUAUGAUAUGUGUGGAAGUCUAAAGAAAGAACAAAUCAAAGUCAAACAACUCUAUUUUAAUUAAUUGGGAUUACAAGUAUCCAAGUUGUGUAACUGUUGACAUCAAAGCAAAAUAGAUUGGUUUGAAUAGUCUAUGUAUAGUUGAAUAAUGAAUGCUCUUUUGCAAACCCACCCCUUAUAUUUUUGGAUAAAUAUGAAUUUGGCCCCCUAAAAUUUGUAAUGUGCAAGUUUAUUUAUGACAAAAUUUCAUAGUAUUUAGCUUAUAUAGAAUGAGAAUUUAGUUUUAUUUAUUUUAUGUUAUAAGUUGCAACAUGUUACCCACCUUAGUUUUCAAACUAUUAAUUAAACUUAUUAUGAGUAUUUACUAGAAUAGUUAUAGAUGAUCUGAUGAUCGCGAUUACUAGCGAUUCCAACUUCAUGUUCCCGAGUUGCAGAGAACAAUCCGAACUGAGGCAAUCUUUCCGGAUUCGCUCCGCCUUACAGCCUUGCUUCCCAUUGUAAUUGCCAUUGUAGCACGUGUGUGGCCCAGCCCAUAAGGGCCAUGCGGACUUGACGUCAUCCCCACCUUCCUCCAGUAUAUCACUGGCAGUCCUUCGUGAGUGCGGCACACACCUUUUUGUUUGUUUCGGAGCCGUUUGUUUGGGUAAAAAUUCUUUUACACUGAAAAUAAAUAGAAAUUAGAUAUAUAUUAUUAUAAUCGUUUUAUAUUAAUUGAAAUGGUAGAUUGGGU